UACGUAGGGGGCGAGCGUUGUCCGGAAUUACUGGGCGUAAAGGGCGUGUAGGCGGCUGAGUAAGUCAGGUGUGAAAGGCCACGGCUUAACCGUGGUACUGCACAUGAAACUGCUCAGCUUGAGUGCAGGAGAGGGAAGUGGAAUUCCUAGUGUAGCGGUGAAAUGCGUAGAUAUUAGGAGGAACACCAGUGGCGAAGGCGACUUUCUGGACUGUAACUGACGCUGAGGCGCGAAAGCGUGGGGAGCAAACAGGAUUAGAUACCCCCGUAGUCC
rnacentral:rRNA from 1 species